AUUGAACGCUGGCGGCAUGCCUUACACAUGCAAGUCGAACGGCAGCGCGGACUUCGGUCUGGCGGCGAGUGGCGAACGGGUGAGUAAUACAUCGGAACGUACCCUGUUGUGGGGGAUAACUAGUCGAAAGAUUAGCUAAUACCGCAUACGACCUGAGGGUGAAAGCGGGGGACCGAAAGGCCUCGCGCAGCAGGAGCGGCCGAUGUCUGAUUAGCUAGUUGGUGGGGUAAAGGCCCACCAAGGCGACGAUCAGUAGCUGGUCUGAGAGGACGAUCAGCCACACUGGGACUGAGACACGGCCCAGACUCCUACGGGAGGCAGCAGUGGGGAAUUUUGGACAAUGGGGGCAACCCUGAUCCAGCAAUGCCGCGUGUGUGAAGAAGGCCUUCGGGUUGUAAAGCACUUUUGUCCGGAAAGAAAUUGCUCUGGCUAAUACCUGGGGUAGAUGACGGUACCGGAAGAAUAAGCACCGGCUAACUACGUGCCAGCCGCCGCCGUAACAC
rnacentral:rRNA from 1 species